rnacentral:rRNA from 1 species
CCUACGGGGGGCAGCAGUGAGGAAUAUUGGUCAAUGGGCGGAAGCCUGAACCAGCCAAGUAGCGUGCAGGAUGACGGCCCUACGGGUUGUAAACUGCUUUUAUACGGGAAUAACGCGCCUUACGUGUAGGGCUGUGCAUGUACCGUAUGAAUAAGGACAGGCGAAUGCCGUGCCAGCAGCCGCGGUAAUACGGAAGGUCCGGGCGUUAUCCGGAUUUAUUGGGUUUAAAGGGAGCGUAGGGGGCAUGUCAAGCGUGCUGUGAAAUGUCCGGGCUCAACCCGGGCCUUGCAGCGCAAACUGGCGUUCUUGCGUCCGCGUCACGCAGGCGGAAUUCGUCGUGUAGCGGU